CACCAAAUUUUUACUGUAUGGCACUCGUUUUCAAUUAAAACACCAAAAGGCACUUUUCAAAAUUCCACUUACCUCUCAUUUUCUCUCUCACUCAACACCAAACCCUAGCCUCCAUUUUCUCAUUUUCUCUCUCACGUCUCUCUCACUCUCAAAGCAAUAAAGCAUUCAUACCAUUCAUUUCUCGUAUGCACUCAACUCUCAGGAAUGGCUCCAAAGAAAAUCAUUGCCUCUAAGAAACAAAAGACCGCCACCAUCACUUCUAGGGAACCAAGGACAUUUGAUUCAACAAGAUUUUUGGGUCCUGAACAAGAAGAAAGGUUUCGAGAGUUGGCAAAAAGAAAAUUUUGGUCUAAAAAGCAGAGAACAAGGAGACUUUAGGGACAUAACUCAAAUAAUUUAAAUAAGGAAGUGAGGCAUGUUGGUUAACCCUCUCAGUUACCUCAACUAUGACAUCACCCGAGAACUUUAUGUUAAUGUUCUACUAUCAAACGAAUAACCCUUUUCAUUUACUACCAUGGUUCGAGGGAGAACCAUCCGCUUCUACCGGAAUUCCAUCAAUGAAUAUCUAGGUGAUCUUAUCACUUUGUUGGAUGGUGAGUUGUGUGCUUAUGCAAGAUACCUCGACCAUGGGUCAUGGAACAUUGAAGAAAUAUCUGAGUCUAUUUUGCUGGAAGGAAGGAGUGUUCAACUUAAUUCUUCCGAGGUCCCCAUUAGAUUUUUAAGAGAGGACAUGAAGCCAUCCUCCCAAGUGAUACUACUCCUGAUACUCCAUAACAUUAAACCAAGAAAUCACACUUCCUUCAUACCUUUGGAGACAUCAUACCUCUUGUAUUUCAUUUUGAAUAAUAUAUAGCUCGGGUAAUAGAGAAUGAGCUCAAAAUGGCCGCUGAAAGUGGCCAUAAUCCAGGAGCAAACCUUAACUACCCUUUAAUCUUCCCCGACCUCAUUAUGUGAUUAUGUAGGGUUGCUUGAAUGAUUAUCCCAACACAAGUACUUGACAUCAUUUCUAGAAUGAUUAAUGAUGUUUAUGUCUUUGGGUACUGCAUGGGAAAGAGACCUAUAAGCACUGGUCGAGCUCCAGCAAAUCCCUUAUCUCCUUCAGCUCAACAAAUCUUGGAUUUUAUGACUAGGAUCCAGGGUUAUAGUCACGUUUACUUAUACUUGGGACCAGAAUGAGUCUAAUCAGAGUCUUUUUCUAUAUAGGACUCUAUGUAUAGGCUGCAACUGUAAAUAGGGGGCCACAGGAGGAGGCAUACCAGAUUAUGACCCUAGAGGCUUUCUAGUCGCAUGUUGCUUGGCCCGGGGUCAAGCCAUUUUAUUAUGGGGAAGCUGCUACUGGACAUAGGGAUGAAGAUGGAGAAGAAGAGGAUGAGAAAACUGAAGAAGGAGAAGAAGGAUUGGAAGAAGAGACAUAAUUGGAUGAAGGAUCAUAAGAAAGCCAGGAGGACAUGAGUGAUUAGUAGGAGAUAGAUGACUGAAAAGCUCACCACUACUGAGUGAUAUCUUUAAAACUUCCAGUCAUUUAUAUUUCUUUGUAUUAUUCUUAUAUUCCUUAUCUUUUGUAUUCGUCAAACUAUUUGGGAUUUGUGUUUUGAUGUUGGGAUUUCUUGUUGGUGUUCUAAGAAACCAUAACUUUUGAAUGGUGGUUUAUGUUAUUUGAGUUUGUUUUUGAAUUUGUUUCAAGUAGUAAGAAGUAGUAGUGUUUUUUUA